UGCUGCUGCUGUUAGUCUCUCAGUUGUGACUGACUCUCUGCAGCUCUAUGGUCUGUAGCCCACCAGGCUCCUCUGUCCAUGGAAUUCUCCAGGCAAGAGUACUGGAGUGGGUUGCCAGUCUCUUCUCCAGGGGAUCUUCCCAACCCAGGGAUCGAACUCGCGUCUCUUAUAUAGUUCCUGCAUUAUCAGGUGAUAAAGGAUCAGAAUGGCUCCCUAUCCUCUUCUCUCCACUGAAGUUUCUGGUAUCCUCAGUGCAAUGUGAGUUGGAAAAUCGCACUCCUGCAGUGGAGGGCUUUCGCAGUGACUCAGUGGGUAAAGAACCCA
ensembl:lncRNA